rnacentral:rRNA from 1 species
GACGAACGCUGGCGGCAGGCCUAACACAUGCAAGUCGAGCGCCCCGCAAGGGGAGCGGCAGACGGGAGAGUAACACGUGGGAACGUACCCUUCAGUUCGGAACAACCCAGGGAAACUUGGGCUAAUACCGAAUACGUCCGUAAGGAGAAAGAUUUAUCGCUGAAGGAUCGGCCCGCGUCUGAUUAGCUAGUUGGUGAGGUAACGGCUCACCAAGGCGACGAUCAGUAGCUGGUCUGAGAGGAUGAUCAGCCUCACUGGGACUGAGACACGGCCCAGACUCCUACGGGAGGCAGCAGUGGGGAAUAUUGGACAAUGGGCGCAAGCCUGAUCCAGCCAUGCCGCGUGGGUGAUGAAGGCCCUAGGGUUGUAAAGCCCUUUCGGCGGGGAAGAUAAUGACGGUACCCGCAGAAGAAGCCCGGCUAACUUCGUGCCAGCAGCCGCGGUAAUACGAAGGGGGCUAGCGUUGCUCGGAAUCACUGGGCGUGAAGCGCACGUAGGCGGCUUUUU